GGACUGUGGAGUCACACUGUGAGGACUGUGGAGUCACACUGUGCAGAUGUGGGGUCGGGUGCACAGGUGAUGGCUGUGGGGUCAGGUGCACAGGUGAGGACUGUGGAGUCACACUGUGAGAACUGUGGAGUCACACUGCG